UCCCGUUGUAGCUCAUGGUAACAAACCCGACUAGUACCCAUGAGGAUGAGGGUUUGAACCCUGGCCUCACUCAGCAGGUUAAGGAUCCGGCAUUGCUGUGAGCUCUGGUGUAGGUCUCAGACACAGUUCGGAUCCCGUAUUACUGUGGCUGUGGCAUAGGCCGGCAGCUGCAGCUCUGAUUCAGCCCCUAGCCUGGGAAUUUUCACAUGCCAAGAGUGUGGCUCUUAAAAAAAAAAGGAGAGAGAGAGACUUUGUCCAAAAUUGGCAGAGCCUGACUUAGAAUCUGGUCUCCAUCUUACCAAACCUCCAACCCCAAAGUGUUUGUUCCUGAGACAAUAAAAUCAAGGUUAAAACCUCUGAUUCACCGAACACUUGAUAUUUGACUAUUUCUUCCCUCCACGUCAAAAACCUUCAGGCCCCCACCUGGAUGGGGCCAUGGACUUACUUGCAUCAGGUGGAAGGCAGGGUCAGCUAAAGGAAAGUGAUGGGUUUUAGAAUAAACAGGCCUGAGUUUGAAUCCCCAGCCUGUUACUUAAUAGCCAUGAGAUUUUAGGAGGUUACUUUGCCUCUCUGAAUUUCUUCAUCAGGGAAAGUGAGAGUAGUAAUAAUGGUUUCUCCGUGUGGUGGGAGUAAAUGAGAUCUCUGUGCAAAAUAGCCGGUGCACAGUAGAAACCCAGUGAAUGGUAAUAGCCAUUAAUUACUGCUACUUUGGAAUACUACUCAGCCAUAAAAAAGAUAAACUAGUGCCAUUUGCAGCAACACAGAUGGAACUAGAGAUUCUCAUACUAAGUGAAGUAAGCCAGAAAGAAAGAGACAAAUACCAUAUGAUAGCACUUACUUGUGGAAUCUAAAAUAUGGCACAGAUGAUCCUAUCUACAAAACAGAAACAGAUCACGGCCAAGGAGGGCAGACUUGUGGUUCUGGGGGAGUGAGAUUGAGAGGGACAGGCUGUGUGGGGUUUUUAGAUGCAAACUGUUAGAUUUGGAAUGGAGGGGCAAUGCCCUGCUGUACAGAACAGGGAACUGUGUGUAUGGGUCAUUUUGCUGUACAACAGAAAUGGAAGAAACAUUAUAAAUCAACUACUUUAAUAAAAAAAUUAAAAUAAUGAAUAAAAUUAAAAAAAACUUAAAUACACUUAGUUCAAAGAGGAGUUUACAUGUGAUUCAAGCUAGGGGAGGAAAGGUUAGGGUAUGUGAUACUGUAGAAUCCCACCACUAAUCUUUCUGAAGGGAGUUUGGGGGUGGGAAGGCGUCAAGAAAGGGGCUGCAGCUCAGUAGUUUCUUAACAGCCCCUGUGAUUCUUUCCAUCCUCAUGGACUUUCAGGAACGCCUUAGAGUUACUCCUGUCUACCUGCUCACACACCCUCCGCCGGCUGCACUGACACCACAUCAAGGCCUUUUCUGCCUGUUCUGUGUUGUUCAAGGUCUGCCGUGAAGCUGACUGUACAGCGUGGGGUUUUACCUUAUCAUCAGCACUUGUUUUCAGCCCGACCCCUGGAUGCCCUGUUAGGAGACAGAUCUCCUGAUUCACUUCCUUCUCAGAACUCUACUGCAUAAACAAGCACAGGCUGUAAGACAUAAAUAAUUCUAACUCUAAUACCAAACAGACUUAGCCACAGUGUUGCUGCUAUACCCUGGGAACGGGGAGGGGGCUGAGAGGGAGGGGAAGAUGUCAGAAUUUCUAUGGUGAGUCUGGGGAGCUGAGAGAAAGAAUUUUUGUACAAAUAGUAUGGAAAAUUCCUUCCUGGCCCUUUAUGUAAUAGAAGCUAUUUCUAUGUGUUUCUCCCACCCACCUUGGGACACACACAGGCAUAAAAUGACAAAGAAGCUCAAAUUCUAAUGCUAAGCCACAAUGGAAUACCACUUGCAUGAACAGUUGGUGACAUUUGGAUUUUUAAAAGAAGGUGGAGAGUUCCCGUCGUAGCUCAGUGGAAACGAAUCUGACAAGUAUCCAUGAGGACGAAGGUUUGAUCCCUGGCCUCACUCAGUGGGUUAAGGAUCCGGCAUUGCCACGAGCUGUGGUGUAGGACUCAGACAUGGCUUGGAUCUGGCAUUGCUGUGGCUGUGGCAUUGGCCAGCCGUUGUAGCCCCAAUUCGACCCCUAGCCUGGGAACCUCCAUAUGCUGUGGGUGCGGCCCUAAAAAGACUAAGUAAAUAAAUAAACCAACAAAAUUAAAAAUAAAAUAAAUAAAAGAAGGUAUAAGUGCCUAGGAAAGUUCCAACUGAGCAGGAAACACAAAUUACAUGAAGGACCCUCUGUGGCCAGAGUGCUGUGGGGAAGUUUCAAGGAUCCCAUUGAUACCCUCUCCCCACAAGAGGCCUAAACUUUAAGCCUCAGUCCAAGGAGUCAGGAGUUUUUCUGGAAGGAGUGGGUUGAGCAAACAUCCAUAAACUUGUAUUGCAGUGGGUGACAAACAUGAAAUCAACUAUGUAUGCUAUUUGCUUUAUGUAAAUCUUACAGAGUUCCUGGGAUGAUCAGGAUAAGGAGCAGAUCUGGGAGACAUUGGGGUGGGUCCCCAGUGUCCAGAAAGGGAAAGGCUUGACUCAAAGGGAUAGAGUGAUAUUGCAGGCUGGAGAAUGGCCAGUGUACAAACUAAGAACUGGGCACAAAGUGAGGGCCUAGGGGCACUCAGCGAAGGAAGAGAAAAUUUGUUGGGGAGGAAGGAGCCAAGGAGAAUAAUUAUAGAGGAUUUAUGUGCAAGUGAGAAGAAAAAAAAAAAAAAAAAGGUGGUCUUGGGGACACAAGGGUCACUUUAAGAAACGGAAGCUCAUGGAUGCUUCGAGGAAAUUAUGCUUGCUUUCUGAGGGGCAAACUAGAGUCAGAGAGUUAAUUGAAGAAUUGAAGGAGAGGUCUUAUCUUUGCAAUAGCUAGUAGUAAACCACUCAGAGAUACUUCAGCAAAUGCCCACCUCUGUCCUAGCAAAUCAAGACCCAUAGACCCCAGGGACCAUCUGACCAGCCUAUUAAGUUCCAAGUUUGAGCAAAGUAAUAUCUUUGCUGAGAAUACACCAUAUACCUCCAUUUGCUAAAUGAAUGACAUUAUUAAUGUCUUAAUAAACACAACAAGUAACAACUUCUCUGAGCUAGGGAAGAAUCAGAAACUAUUACUGCAACAUGUCAAAAAAUGUAGUUCACAUCAGAGGCAACUGGUUUAUUAAUUUGACUGAAUUUUCUCUUGGGGAUUUCUCCUUUUCAGAAAGUGAUUUUAGCUGAGUCCUAAUUCCCCAGAGAACUUGGCACUAGAAGGAGUUUGAAGUUUAGGAAUUGCUACCCAGGCUGUUAUUUUCAGGUUUGCUCACUCCUUGCAGAAACACCCACUUCGGUUCAUCAGUUAUUGAUCAAUAUGCUGGUAGAGCUUCUAUCUCAAUAGAUACAACAAUGUGAAGCUGAAUUCUGCCCUCAGAAUGUUUAAAAAUGACAUAAAGCUGUCCUUAAGACAGCAGGGCAAAUAUGUCUUCUCUCAGGACUCCCAGGAUUAGGUCUCUCCUGAUAUAAGAGAUGGAAAGUUAUGGCACAAUUCCUACCAAUUGAAUAGAUAGGGAAUACCAAACAGAUAAUCCAUCUCCUGGACCCUUUCUUACCAAUGCCACCAUAUGCCAUACACAUACAGACGGCCACACUGUAGAGGGCUGUGGACAUCAGCUUAGUCAACCAAACUUACGAGCACGAUGAGAAACAAAACCAGAGCCUCAUAGCUGGUGUGCUAUUUGAGGGUAGUGUGUCAAGCAGCACAUAGAAAAUCCAAGUUAUCCACACCAUCAGUUCUAUCCGAGUUUGCCUUCUGCAGAGACCACUAGGCUAAAAGUCAGGAAAUGCAGCCUCUGUCAUUGGCAGCCUCCUUAAAGCUCAUGCCACAUGAGCACACCAGGGGGAAGGGCAAAGCAUGUGGUCAGACUGUCCUGUCUUGUUGUUCAUUGGGCAACAGUAUCAAACUCGAUUGAUUCUUUUUUUCAAUGAGUUGAUGAGGUGCUUUGAGGUCAGGCAGACCUAGCCUAAAUUACUAGGCGUGUACCCUUUUUGCCAAGCUUUAUAUAGCUCCAUUUCCUCACCUGAGACACGUCGAUGGUGCUGAUGAACCUUCAUAAUACCUGCCACCUCCCUUCCACCUGGGGACCCUAGGAAGCUUAAUUAGAUAGUAUCUAUAAUAUACUUUAUGCCCCUUGGAGAAAUAUUCUACAUACAAGCAAAGUAUUAUUAUUUCUAAGAGGGAUGAUACUUAUUAGUUCCUCAUAGGAUCAUUAAGCAAAUAGAUUAUGCUUCCCUUUAGAGAAAUUAUCUCCCCAUUUUCCUAAUUCUUACAGUCUCUCAAACACUCAAAUGAAAAAAAAAAAAA
ensembl:lncRNA